rnacentral:tRNA from 1 species
GGCCUUAUGGCGCAAUGACAGCACAUCUGACUCUAGAUCAGAAGGCUGUGUGUGCAAAUCACAUCAGGGUCA